AUCUUUACGGCGUAAAGCUUGCUAUGAGGAGUCAGCAGAAGCCAUAGUAGUGGGCGCCCGUGCGUACGCGAAGGAC
rfam:Coriobacteriaceae bacterium BV3Ac1 contig00001, whole genome shotgun sequence.